ACAGAGGUGGCGAGCGUUGUUCGGAUUUACUGGGCGUAAAGGGCGCGUAGGCCGCGCGGUAUGUCGGGUGUGAAAUCUCCGGGCCCAACCCGGAAAGUGCGCCCGAAACUGCCGCGCUCGAGUGCGGGAGGGGAGAUCGGAAUGCAGGGUGUAGCGGUGAAAUGCGUUGAUAUCCUGCAGAACACCGGUGGCGAAGGCGGAUCUCUGGAACGCAACUGACGCUGAGGCGCGAAAGUCGGGGGAGCAAACAG
rnacentral:rRNA from 1 species